rnacentral:rRNA from 1 species
UACGUAGGGGGCAAGCGUUGUCCGGAAUCAUUGGGCGUAAAGAGCGUGUAGGCGGCCUGGUAAGUCCGCUGUGAAAGUCCAGGGCUCAACCCUGGAAUGCCGGUGGAAACUGUCAGGCUCGAGUCCGGAAGAGGCGAGUGGAAUUCCUGGUGUAGCGGUGAAAUGCGCAGAUAUCAGGAGGAACACCAAUGGCGGAGGCAGCUCGCUGGGACGGUACUGACGCUGAGACGCGAAAGCGUGGGGAGCGAACAGG